UACGUAGGGUGCAAGCGUUGUCCGGAUUUAUUGGGCGUAAAGAGCGUGUAGGCGGCUAGAUAGGUCCGUUGUGAAAACUCGAGGCUCAACCUCGAGACGUCGGUGGAAACCAUCUGGCUAGAGUCCGGAAGAGGAGAGUGGAAUUCCUGGUGUAGCGGUGAAAUGCGCAGAUAUCAGGAAGAACACCCGUGGCGAAGGCGGCUCUCUAGUACGGUACUGACGCUGAGACGCGAAAGCGUGGGGAGCGAACAGG
rnacentral:rRNA from 1 species